AACUGUUGGUUGUUAUUUCUUUUUCAUGUUCGCUAUCUUCUUCAUUGUCAUUUUGUAAAGUUUGUAAUUUUCCGUAUUUAGCUUCAAGUUUCGCAAUUAACUCAGUAUCGUCAAAAUUUUCGAUUUCCUCCUCUUCUUCUUCUUCUCCUUCAUCCUUUUCUUCUUCCUCUUCCUCUUCUCCCUCUUCCUCUUCUCCCUCUUCCUCCUCUCCCUCUUCGUCGUCCUCCUCCUCCUCUUCUUCUUCUACUUCUUCUUCUUCUUCUCCUUCUUCUCCUUCAUCCUCUUCUUCUUCUUCUGUUCAUUCAUUCAACAUUUCAUCAUCCUGAACUUCUCCAGUUUCAGUUUCUGUAUCAGUUUCAGUUUCAGUUGCAAUUUCAGAUUCAAUUUCAAUUUCUGUAGUUUCUAACUUUUCAUCGUCUUCAUUAUAUCUCCUUUCAUCUUCUAUUUGUUUAGUUUUUUCAUUUUCGUUAUCAUGUGAUUCUUCAUUAGAUAGAGACAAAGAAUCAUCUACCCACCCAUCAAAGAUAAAGGCCCAACGAGAAGAUUCUAAUGGUGUACUAACUUAUAACAUGAAAUAUAUAGUGUUGACAUAAUACAUUAAAUAUAAUAACUAUAAUUACAUUAAAAAUAUAGAGAAAGUUUACUUACUGUCUGUAGUACCUCUGUGCUCAAUAAUAACUACACCGAUUAAGCCAACAAGCAUUGUUAAGACAGUAAAGAAUAUGAUUCGAGCACACCAGUGUCCACCUGUAGUACUUUCUUUAUAAAUAUGUAUAGUUACGUUGUCUGUUAAAUUUUCACUAGCAUUUCCCACUGUAGGUGAUGGUAUAAUGUUAUCUUCUUCAUCUAAAUAUAUUGAAGUAUAAUAUAUUGAAUAGUUAAAUGACAAUUACUAAUUACUGAUAAAAUGAUUAUUAUAAUACGGUAUAAAAGUUAUUUUAAAAAAUAUUGCAUAUUGUACAUACAUGCACAAACAUAAGUAUGUAUGUGCCGCGCGUAUACAGAUUGUAUACAGCGUGUAUAUAUAAUAGAUUGUAACGUUUUUAUGUGAAUUAGAAAUUGAAAUAUGAUCGAGAAAUUUGUUAACAUUAUAUUAUAAAAAUUAUUUUUAAAUGUCAGAAAGGAUAAUGCUUUAGUUUACUCUUAUUUUGUUUAUUUAAAAUCUUUUUAAAUAGUUAUCAAAAAGUUCAUUUGUUAUUCAUUUAUUAUAUUCUGUUCAGUGCAUAUCUUUUUACAAAAAUAAUGAUAAUUUAAUAUCAAUAUUAAUAAUUAAGCUAAUAAUUAUUAUUAUUAUU
rnacentral:misc_RNA from 1 species